rnacentral:rRNA from 1 species
UACGUAGGUGGCAAGCGUUGUCCGGAUUUACUGGGUGUAAAGGGCGCGUAGGCGGGAUGGCAAGUCAGAUGUGAAAUCCAUGGGCUCAACCCGUGAACUGCAUUUGAAACUGUCGUUCUUGAGUGUCGGAGAGGCAAGCGGAAUUCCUAGUGUAGCGGUGAAAUGCGUAGAUAUUAGGAGGAACACCAGUGGCGAAGGCGGCUUGCUGGACGAUAACUGACGCUGAGGCACGAAAGCGUGGGGAUCGAACAGG